UUUAUGGAGAGUUUGAUCCUGGCUCAGGAUGAACGCUGGCGGCGUGCCUAAUACAUGCAAGUCGAGCGAACGGACGAGAAGCUUGCUUCUCUGAUGUUAGCGGCGGACGGGUGAGUAACACGUGGAUAACCUACCUAUAAGACUGGGAUAACUUCGGGAAACCGGAGCUAAUACCGGAUAAUAUUUUGAACCGCAUGGUUCAAAAGUGAAAGACGGUCUUGCUGUCACUUAUAGAUGGAUCCGCGCUGCAUUAGCUAGUUGGUAAGGUAACGGCUUACCAAGGCAACGAUGCAUAGCCGACCUGAGAGGGUGAUCGGCCACACUGGAACUGAGACACGGUCCAGACUCCUACGGGAGGCAGCAGUAGGGAAUCUUCCGCAAUGGGCGAAAGCCUGACGGAGCAACGCCGCGUGAGUGAUGAAGGUCUUCGGAUCGUAAAACUCUGUUAUUAGGGAAGAACAUAUGUGUAAGUAACUGUGCACAUCUUGACGGUACCUAAUCAGAAAGCCACGGCUAACUACGUGCCAGCAGCCGCGGUAAUACGUAGGUGGCAAGCGUUAUCCGGAAUUAUUGGGCGUAAAGCGCGCGUAGGCGGUUUUUUAAGUCUGAUGUGAAAGCCCACGGCUCAACCGUGGAGGGUCAUUGGAAACUGGAAAACUUGAGUGCAGAAGAGGAAAGUGGAAUUCCAUGUGUAGCGGUGAAAUGCGCAGAGAUAUGGAGGAACACCAGUGGCGAAGGCGACUUUCUGGUCUGUAACUGACGCUGAUGUGCGAAAGCGUGGGGAUCAAACAGGAUUAGAUACCCUGGUAGUCCACGCCGUAAACGAUGAGUGCUAAGUGUUAGGGGGUUUCCGCCCCUUAGUGCUGCAGCUAACGCAUUAAGCACUCCGCCUGGGGAGUACGACCGCAAGGUUGAAACUCAAAGGAAUUGACGGGGACCCGCACAAGCGGUGGAGCAUGUGGUUUAAUUCGAAGCAACGCGAAGAACCUUACCAAAUCUUGACAUCCUUUGACAACUCUAGAGAUAGAGCUUUCCCCUUCGGGGGACAAAGUGACAGGUGGUGCAUGGUUGUCGUCAGCUCGUGUCGUGAGAUGUUGGGUUAAGUCCCGCAACGAGCGCAACCCUUAAGCUUAGUUGCCAUCAUUAAGUUGGGCACUCUAAGUUGACUGCCGGUGACA
rnacentral:rRNA from 1 species